UGAUCUUUUUUGGUCAAGAUUUUAGAGAUUCCUAUGAGAACAAAUGCAGUAGGAGCUGAGUUGCAGAAUCAGCACUGUGCGGGUUCAUUGCCAAGAGGUCUAUCAGUAGCAGUGGCGAAAGGGUCUGUGAGCUGGAGCUCACUGUAACCAGACAUUGGGUGGUGUUCAUGGUCGACAUCUGCUCUUCUCUAUUUGACUGAUGCAGAACUACCACGAGUUGGUCUCCCACUCACCACCCAACUUCCCAGCGCGCACUUCCACCGUAUUCAUGAGGCUCGACCCUUGCCUUUGAAUCAGCAUCCAUUGUAACCCUUUUGGUCCUCCUCGAAGCCUCUUACUAAAGGCUUACUUUCAUUACAAGCCCAGGACAACCCAGAACAAAACAAACCGUGCUGUAUUGCUGGUAUAUCCAACUGUCAAUGUUGGGAAUAACUCCACCCGCUCUCUAUGGAAAGUUGGGGUGGGGGUAAAUACUGGAUCUCCUGCUCUUUUUUGGAAUUGAUUCCGCCCCCCCACCCCCGUUUGCUCCCAGUGGUAUCCAGCAUUUUGAUCGUGGACUUGAGGACAAACACCUUCCUUCCUCCGUGUAAACAGAGAGCAGCUUCAUGGAGCAGCAUGGUGGCAGGCUAUCAGUUAGUGGUGACUGUCAGGCUGUGCGAGGAAACUGAAGCACCCGGAGGAAAGACAUGCGGCCAUGAGGAGAACUUACAAACUCCUUACAGACAGCAGUGGGAAUUGAAUAUCGAUCGGUUCUUUUGAAGACCCUGACCAGGAGUUACACGCUGACUUUGGUUCUUUGCGAGAAUGGGACCCGUUCUCAGGGCCUCGCGACCGGCCGUUUUUCGAUAUGCCAAGGACGCAGCCUGGAAUUCUAACUCACCUUCAGGGCGCCGGAUUUUCGUGACUCUGAAGACGGGCUGAUUCAAGGCUGGUGCCGCUACCUGAUGUGUUGUGAGAGUACACGGAAGAUCGGAAGCAGUGAGCUGGCUGCUGGCUGUGUGCCUAGAGACCUGAGUUCUUUGGGCCCAGAGCUCGGAAAAAGUGACACAACAGACUUUUAACACUAUAAAUCAGAGAGUUGUUUUGUUAUGUCUCCCCUCUCGCUGUGAAACAGGGACACCUCUUUUUCCUUUAUUAGGGAGAGAGAGAGCCUGUGGUAUGUCGAAUUACCAGGUGAACGAGUAAUGGGGGACUGCAAGUCUGUGUCU